CCUACGGGCGGCAGCAGUGGGGAAUAUUGGACAAUGGGCGAAAGCCUGAUCCAGCCAUGCCGCGUGUGUGAAGAAGGCCUUCGGGUUGUAAAGCACUUUCAGUGGGGAAGAAAGCCUUGGGGCUAAUACCCUCGAGGAAGGACAUCACCUACAGAAGAAGCACCGGCUAACUCCGUGCCAGCAGCCGCGGUAAUACGGAGGGUGCGAGCGUUAAUCGGAAUUACUGGGCGUAAAGCGCGCGUAGGCGGUCUGAUAAGCCGGUUGUGAAAGCCCCGGGCUCAACCUGGGAACGGCAUCCGGAACUGUCAGGCUAGAGUGCAGGAGAGGAAGGUAGAAUUCCCGGUGUAGCGGUGAAAUGCGUAGAGAUCGGGAGGAAUACCAGUGGCGAAGGCGGCCUUCUGGACUGACACUGACGCUGAGGUGCGAAAGCGUGGGUAGCAAACAGGAUUAGAUACCCUAGUAGUC
rnacentral:rRNA from 1 species